rnacentral:rRNA from 1 species
CCACAAGGCCUUUACUGACGCUAAAGCUCGAAGGUGCGGGUAUCGAACAGGAUUAGAUACCCUGGUAGUCCGCACGGUAAACGAUGGAUGCCCGCUGUUGGCGAUACAAUGUCAGCGGCCAAGCGAAAGCGUUAAGCAUCCCACCUGGGGAGUACGCCGGCAACGGUGAAACUCAAAGGAAUUGACGGGGGCCCGCACAAGCGGAGGAACAUGUGGUUUAAUUCGAUGAUACGCGAGGAACCUUACCCGGGCUUGAACUGCAGCAGAACGAUUCAGAGAUGAAGAGGCCCUUCGGGGCUGCUGUGGAGGUGCUGCAUGGUUGUCGUCAGCUCGUGCCGUGAGGUGUCGGCUUAAGUGCCAUAACGAGCGCAACCCCUUUCAUUAGUUGCCAUCAGGUAAUGCUGGGCACUCUGGUGAUACUGCCACCGUAAGGUGUGAGGAAGGUGGGGAUGACGUCAAAUCAGCACGGCCCUCACGUCCGGGGCUACACACGUGUUACAAUGGGUGGUACAGAGAGUCAGUGGGUCGCAAGUCCCAUUCAAUCAUGAAAGCCAUCCUCAGUUCGGAUUGGGGUCUGCAACCCGACCCCAUGAAGCUGGA